AGGGCAGUUAUGGGGUGCACAGCAGUUGUGGGGUGCACAGCAGUUGUGGGGUGCACAGCAGUUAUGGGGUGCAGAAGGUGUGGGUGCUGUGCAGGUGUGGGUGCAGGGCAGUUAUGGGGUGCAGAAGGUGUGGGUGCUGUGCAGGUGUGGUGCUGCACAGGUAUAGGGCGCAGUGCAGGUGUGGAGGGUGGGUUACACCACACGCCCGUGUGCCCCCCCGGGUUCCGGGGGGUCCAGCUGCCCAUCGAGCCUCGAGGGGACGCCGCAGGGGUGACCCGGGCCGGGCACACGCGGUGACACCUUCCCGCAGCUCCCGCCUGGCCCCCGGCCCGCAGCUUGGCGCCCGUCCCGAAUCCCCUAAUCCCGGCUCGCCCGCGUUAAUGAAUCUCUCUGUGGUGCCCUCUAAUCCCCCUCCCGCCGCUACCGGGACGCGGGGGCUCGGGGCAGAGCCUCGGGCUCCAGGACGGGUGUCCUUGGGGAGCGGGAACCGGGGGCGGGCGGGGGCUCUGCCCGCAUCUCCGGGGCUCUGCGGGGCCCCCGUGUCCCGGGGCUUUGCCCUCAGCCCCGGGCGGGCAGCGGGGCUCUGCCGUGACCCGGUGCUCCCUCUGCCUCGGCCGGCGGCCCUGCCGAUGGACUCAAACUGGAUGGGAGAGCACUGGCAUAGGAACGGGACAAACGCUGGAAUUCAUUCCCAAAAAUUCUCUUUUUUUGCUCCCAGCCCCGCGCCCCCUUAAUCAGGCUGCGGUGUAAUCUGAAAUAAUCAAAUUAGAGAGAAACUGUUAAUCAGCGUUGA